CGACUCUUUACACCAACCUGGUUCGUAAGCUUCGUCGUCAAUCUCUAGCUUCCCCCUGCCAUUCUCUCUCCCGCUCGCUACGUAAGUUCUCCGUCGUUCCGCCAAUUCUUAGUUUCAUGAUUGAUUUUGAUUUCUAGUUUUUCCUUUUGUAUGGACUGCAUUAAUUUUCUAUCUGGAUUGUGUUCUUGUCGAUUUCGUUACGAACUUUCUCGUCUCGAUUUCAAUGUCAGUCUAUAUGAUACAUUUCGUAUUAGUAAUCAUCGACUUUAGCAAUUCUGAUUGCUUCCUCGUUGCGGUUUAGUAUUCCGAGCUGAUUCGAACAUGUACUCAUCAUCUAGUUUUGGUUGUGUCUGUAUGCAUUUUGUGUUGGUUAAACGCUAAAUCAGUGUCCGGAAACCGAAAUUUCUCUCUAGGAGAUUCAAAUUUACUUAUGGUGGUGCUCUGUAUGAAAAUUUCGGAUUAUUUUGUUUCUGUGUUUUUGGACCUCUCUGAUGUUCUCUUUAUAGAAAAAUAAACUUUAGAUUGCUUUAUGGAAAGACAAAAUCUAGUGAAGAAGACCUAGUUGCUGCAAUUGUGCCGUUAAUGAAGCUUAUCUGCCACGCAGUAAUUGGACUAUGAUCCCAAAAGCAACAUUUAGGCUGCUUUCCAAACUUGUUUUUGCCUUGUUCUUGUCCUGCUUGAUUUUCACUUAAUUGGGCCAAGUAUAUCACGCUCUGGAGUUCUACCCAUUGGUGGUUUAUCCCAGCAAAUGUGCUACUCAGCACGGCCAUGGGUUGUUUCCUUGGAUAUUUGGGGGUUGCUAAAUGUCACCCACCCCCUGAAUUAUGCUCAUUCUAGGUGUUAUGCUUGUAGAGUUCCCAAACACGUCUCCAUUGGGCCAUCGAAGUGCACUCGGUAUAAUCAGAGCUGUCUCUUGGUCCUUCCUCUGUUGGGAUGGUCUUCUUGGCUGAUUAGCUGAAUUUUCUUGUCUCUGGGGUUCCAAUGUACAGGGACAUGGAAUGCAUUUACGAGCAGAUGGUUUGAAAAAGUUACCAGUUUACCCACAAUGGACGAGCCCCUCCCAUCAAACAGGUACUCAUGGGUCAUUAUGCACUCUUCGAACAAUAAAUCUAUUUUGUUCCUAACAAAAUUAAAGAUAAAUUUCUACUUUUCUUUUCUUUUUCUUUUUUUUUUUUUAGUUAAAUAAGAAGAUAAGGAUAACACAUAUCUGUCUCAUGGUUGAAUUAGAACAAGGCAUGAAACCUAAGGGGGAAUGGAAAUAAUAUUAUGAAAAGAUUAUCUUUUGCAAAUGAUAGUGAUGAGAUAUGUCUCUUCAUGCUGCCACCGAAACAAAGUCAAAACAAAAUUAAUCAAAGAUAUAAGUGAAACUUCUCCCUCUUUUCCAUUCCCUUCAAUUAGUUAGGUCACAAAAAAAAAAAAAAAAAAAAAAAAAAAA